rnacentral:rRNA from 1 species
AUUGAACGCUGGCGGCAGGCCUAACACAUGCAAGUCGAACGAGUGGCGGACGGGUGAGUAAUGUCUGGGAACCUGCCUGAUGGAGGGGGAUAACUACUGGAAACGGUAGCUAAUACCGCAUACCAUCAGAUGUGCCGAGAUGGGAUUAGCUGGUUGGUGGGGUAAAGGCUCACCAAGGCGACGAUCCCUAGCUGGUUUGAGAGGAUGACCAGCCACACUGGAACUGAGACACGGUCCAGACUCCUACGGGAGGCAGCAGUGGGGAAUAUUGCACAAUGGGCGAAAGCCUGAUGCAGCCAUGCCGCGUGUAUGAAGAAGGCCUUCGGGUUGUAAAGUACUUUCAGCGGGGAAGCGGUACCCGCAGAAGAAGCACCGGCUAACUCCGUGCCAGCAGCCGCGGUAAUAC